GACGAACGCUGGCGGCGUGCUUAACACAUGCAAGUCGAACGGAAAGGCCCUGCUUUUGUGGGGUGCUCGAGUGGCGAACGGGUGAGUAACACGUGAGUAACCUGCCCUUGACUUUGGGAUAACUUCAGGAAACUGGGGCUAAUACCGGAUAGGAGCUCCUGCUGCAUGGUGGGGGUUGGAAAGUUUCGGCGGUUGGGGAUGGACUCGCGGCUUAUCAGCUUGUUGGUGGGGUAGUGGCUUACCAAGGCUUUGACGGGUAGCCGGCCUGGGAGGGUGACCGGCCACAAUGGGACUGCGAUACGGCCCAGACUCCUACGGGAGGCAGCAGUGGGGAAUAUUGCACAAUGAGCGGAAGCCUGAUGCGGCAACGCCGCGUGCGGGAUGACGGCCUUCGGGUUGUAAACCGCUUUCGCAUGUGCCGAAGCGUGAGUGACGGUAAUGGGUAAAGAAGCACCGGCUAACUACGUG
rnacentral:rRNA from 1 species